rnacentral:rRNA from 1 species
CGUGUAGGCGGACCGACAAGUCGGACGUGAAAGCCCUGAGCUCAACUCAGGAACUGCAUCCGAAACUGUUGGUCUGGAGUGGUGGAGAGGGAAGCAGAAUUCCUGGUGUAGAGGUGAAAUUCGUAGAUAUCAGGAGGAACACCGGUGGCGAAGGCGGCUUCCUGGACACUUACUGACGCUGAGACGCGAAAGCGUGGGGAGCAAACA